rnacentral:rRNA from 1 species
GCCAGACGACCGGGAGUGGGUGUAUUGUUUUCGAUAUGCUCGCGUCUCGGAAAAAUUUACAAUGACGGCACAGUGAAAUCAAAUCAUAUGUGAUCUGAGGCCUACAACAAUGGUCUGCAGCGCAACAUAUGCCCACUUGUAUGGUUAUACGCGCAAGUGUUAGCCAAGUGGAGCAAAGAGAUACUUGACUGGUACCCGAAAGAUGGUGAACUAUUCCUGGCCAAAUUGAAGCCAGAGGAAACUCUGGUGGAGGAUUGUAGCGAUUCUGACGUGCAAAUCGAUCGUCAGAGCUGGGUAUAGGGGCGAAAGACUAAUCGAACCAUCUAGUACU